GACGAACGCUGGCGGCGUGCUUAAUACAUGCAAGUCAACUGAACUUGAGAUAGCAAUAUUUUAAGGGAGGUGGCGCACGGGUGAGUAACACGUAGGUAAUCUGCCUUUAGGUCUGACACAACCCCGAGAAAUCGGGGCUAAUAUCAGAUGAUGCAGCGGCUCGACAUCGAGACAGUUGUUAAACCUUCGGGGCCUAAAGAUGAGCCUGCGUCUGAUUAGGUAGUUGGCGGAGUAAAAGCCCACCAAGCCUGCGAUCAGUAGCUGGUCUGAGAGGAUGAUCAGCCACACUGGAACUGAGACACGGGCCCGACUCCUACGGGAGGCAGCAGUAAGGAAUAUUGGUCAAUGGACGAAAGUCUGAACCAGCCAUGCCGCGUGAAGGAUGAAGGUCCUCUGGAUUGUAAACUUCUUUUAUCUGGGAACGAAAAAAGGGAUUCUUUCUCACUUGACGGUACCAGAAGAAUAAGCACCGGCUAACUCCGUGCC
rnacentral:rRNA from 1 species